rnacentral:rRNA from 1 species
CGGCCUGAAAAUCGUUUUGUUCGAUCAAUGGAGACACUUCAUAGGAAGUUUGAUAGAGUCUUGGAAUGUUUGGUUAAGUUGGCAGGAGACAUAAUUCGCCCACUAGAUCCACAGUUUAGGACACCUCAUCCAAGAGUCCAAAAUCCAAUGUUUGCUCCGUUCUUCGACAAUUGCAUUAGAGCCAUUGAUGGAACACAUAUAGAGGUGGUUGUGCCAAAGACAGACCUCAUCACACACAUGAACCGAAAAUCAACUACUACUCAGAAUGUGCUAGCAAUAUGUGAUUUUGACUUGAGAUUCACUUUCAUCGUUACUGGGUGGCCUGGGUCGGUUCAUGACAUGAGGGUGUUCAAGGCAGCACUAGACAAAUUUGGCAGCCACUUCCCACAUCCUCCCCGAGGGAAGUUUUAUGUGGUGGACUCAGGAUUCUCUAACCAACCUGGUUAUCUUGCACCGUACAAAGGAACGAAGUACCAUUUUCAAGAGUACAAUCAAGGUCCACCGCCAAGAGGUAAAGAACAAACAUUUAAUCAUAGACAUUCCCAAAUUCGCAAUGCAAUAGAGCGAUGCUUUGGAGUACUGAAGAACAAGUUUAGGAUUUUGUUGCACAUGCCCUCUUAUCCA